rnacentral:rRNA from 1 species
AGGACGAACGCUGGCGGCGUGCCUAACACAUGCAAGUCGAACGAGGCCCAAGCAGUGGCAACACUGUGGAAGGUCUAGUGGCGAACGGGUGAGUAACACGUGAGGAACCUGCCCCGAAGACCGGGAUAACCCUCCGAAAGGAGAGCUAAUACCGGAUACCCCCAUCAGAUCGCAUGGUCAGAUGAGGAAAUGGAUUCCGCUUCGGGAGGGCCUCGCGGCCUAUCAGCUUGUGGUGGGUAACGGCCCACCAAGGCAUCGACGGGUAGCUGGUCUGAGAGGACGAUCAGCCACACGUGGGACUGAGACACGGCCAGACUCCGUACGGGAGCAGCAGGUGGGAAUCUGCGCAAGUGGGGACGAAAGCCGUGACGACAGAC